rnacentral:rRNA from 1 species
GGGGGGGGGGGGGGGGGGGGGGGGGGGGGGGGGGGGGGGCGAAGGGGGCGGGGUUGGUGGCGGAGGGGGGGGUAACCCUUGGGGGCGUGGGUUUCGGGUCGGGCUAGCUCGGGGGGACUUGGGCUGAUCCCGACUGUGCGCUUCGGGGCACGGAUUUAUCGCAUUUCGAGCCGCCCGCUUCUGAUUAUCUAGUUGGUUACUGUACUGGCUCACCACUGCUACGAUCCGUAGCUGGGCUGAGAUGAUGAUCAGCCACCGUGGUACUGCGACACGGCCCAAACUCCUACGGGAGGCAGCAGUGUGGAAUCUUGCGCAAUGGGCGAAAGACUGACGCAGCCAUGCCGCGUGAAUGAUGAAGGUCUUAGGAUGGUAAAAUUCCUUCACCGGGGACGAUAAUGACGGUACCCGGAGAAGAAGCCCCGGCUAACUUCGUG